UUGUUGGAUUUUUAUUUUUUUUAUUUUAUUUUUGUCUUUCUCCCUUUACUGACUCAUAGCACCUGGUCAUGAUUAGAUCAGCCUACAUUUCAGAAAAUCAGGAAUAAGAAGUUAGUUUUGUUUUUGUCUAUGGAGCCUUGAAUUUCCCAGACUACCCACCCUUCCUGGAUUUGAGUCAGAAUAGUAGCAACUUUUGUAGGAGAGGAAGUAAGCUAUGAGUGUGUGUGUCUGUACAUGUGUAAUAUGUCUAACUUUGUGAGUACAGAUAAACAGUUAUUGUAUCAUGCAGCUUUUUCAUUUUCUUAUGUGUCAAGUAAGGAUGAAUAACAUUUUUCACAGAGUUGCAAUGAGGAUUAAAUGAAAUAGAGUACACUAAAUAUUUUGUAUAUACAGUAGCCAAUAAAUGUUAGCACUUGUAUUGUGUGAAGCUUGAUGGACACUAAUCUCUUAGGCUAAUAGUUUGGAGUGAAGAUCAAGAAGGAAGGUACAUGAUCUCUGUCUUUGGGAAUGUCCCAGUGUAGGUAAGGGAAAUACAAAUACGUGAUUAAAAGAAUGUAAGUAAUUGAUGCACAGAAGAUACACAAGUGAGGAUACUUACAGUUGUAUUCAUCAUACUCUACAAAUAUCUACUACAUGUAUAGUAGGCAGGCUUACUCAGUGCUGUGUCAGGAAUGACUAAGCCUUGGUGAAUAAUUAUUUGUGCACAGAACUGUUGUAAGCAAGUGAGUAUUGGCCCUUCAGAGUUAACAUUUUGAGUAAAUAAUUAUUGAUGCUAUUACUAUUAAGGUUAUAUAUUUGGAUACUGGUUUUUUAACCAACCACAAAUACUUUUGUAUUAAAGUAUCUUUGUCUACCAUGGUGGAUUUUAUUUUAUUUUUUGAAUUUUUUGAAUCUACUGAGUUUGUAUUUAAGAAUAGGAAGUGUGAUUACAAAAUGAAUUUUCCUGCGUGGCUCAUCCAAAGUGAUUCCCUAAGGCAAUUUGAGUAUCAAGUGAUAGUUUGUAUUUUCUGUAGGGCUACACAGAGAAAGGAGAAAUGGAGGAUUGAUGUUUGAGCUAGCUAGC
rnacentral:lncRNA from 1 species